rnacentral:lncRNA from 1 species
GUUAUUGCUGUGUCCUCUUAUAACCAAAAUGACGGCAUUUUUUUUUUUUUACAUUUUUUGCCCAUUUAGACCAGAAUUAGCCUAAUAAGGAAGAGAAUUAUCUGAUGUACCGGAACCUAUCUGUCAUUAUAAUAGAAAACAAAGAAUAAUGCAUUAUUUGUUCGAAUCAUUGCCGACCAAAUAAAUAAUUAUCUUUUCC